AUGGGGUACAAGGUCAAACAGCUCCAGGAGAUCUGGGGCUGUGGAGUCUCAACAACAGCCCCAUCUGUCUAUCCACUGGCUCCUGCAUGUGGAGGCCCAACUGGCUCCACAGUGACCCUGGGAUGCCUGGUCAAGGGCUAUUUCCCUGAGCCGGCGACCGUAACCUGGAACUCUGGAAGCCUGACCAGCGACGUGCGCACCUUCCCAUCGGUCCUGCAUUCUGGGCUCUACUCCCUCAGCAGCUCAGUGACUGUGUCCUCCAACGUGUGGCCCAGCCAGACCGUCACCUGCAAUGUCGCCCACCCGGCCAGCAGCACCAAGGUGGACAAGAAAAUUGUGCCCAGAGGUAAAAUCGAGGAUAAAAAUAACUGUCCUACGAUUCCUACAUGCCCUACGUGUCCAGCUCCUGAUCUCUUGGGUGGACCAUCCGCCUUCAUCUUCCCCCCAAAGCCCAAGGAUGUGCUCAUGAUGGCCGGGAAGCCCAAGAUCACAUGUGUGGUGGUGGACGUGAGUGAGGAAGAACCAGAUGUCCAGUUCAGCUGGUUUGUGAACAAUAAAGAAGAGAAAACAGCUCAGACACAGCCCCGUGAGAGGCAGUACAACAGUACCUUCCGCGUGGUCAGUGUCCUCCCCAUCCAGCACAAUGACUGGAUGAAUGGCAAGGAGUUCAAAUGCAAGGUCAAAAACAAUGCCCUCCCAAGCCCCAUCGAGAAAACCAUCUCGAAACCCAAAGGGCAAGUUCGAGAGCCACAGGUCUAUACCUUUCCUCCACCUGCAGAGCAGAUGACCAAAACAGAGGUCAGUGUGACCUGCUUGGUCACAGGCUUCCUCCCUGAGGACAUCCAUGUAGAGUGGCAGAGCAACGGGAAGGAAGAACAGAACUACAAGAACACCCCGCCUGUCUUGGACUCUGAAGGCUCUUACUUCAUGUACAGCAAGCUCACUGUGCCAAAGAGCAGGUGGGAUCGGGGAGGCAGCUUCACCUGCUUCGUGCUACAUGAGGCUCUGCACAGCCACCAGACAAUGAAGUCCAUCUCCCGGUCUCAGGAGCUGGAACUGGACGACAACUGUGCUGAGGCCCUGGACGGGGAGCUGGACGGGCUCUGGACGACCAUCACCAUCUUCAUCACCCUCUUCCUGCUCAGCGUGUGCUACAGUGCCACUGUCACACUCUUCAAGGUAAAGUGGAUCUUCUCCUCAGUGGUGGAAUUGAAGCAAGCAAUCUCCCCUGACUACAGAAAUAUGAUUGGGCAGGGUGCCUAG